UUAAAUAUUAUAUCAUACAGCUCAAUCACACAUUUAGAACAAGAGAUCUUGUGGGAAAGAAUGAUGCUAAAACCAGCAAGCAUUAGAUGAGUAGAGAGGACAUGCUUCCAUGUGAUGAUUUUCUUGAUCAAGGGUUUACAUGCUCCAAGCUUUUGAUCUUGUUACCU